rnacentral:lncRNA from 1 species
UCGGUGCUUCCUUCACUCUGAUUUCGAAAACAACAAAUCCUCUUCCUUGACUGGAUCAAAAAAGGUGCCUGCCUCCAUGGACAAGCUCACAGUCCCCACGCCUUCGCAGAACAACCGUGAGAGGGUUGGGGAGGCCCUGGCGAAGGCUGAGGAGAGUUGGGACAUGGCUGUUCACUCACAGUGAGAAAGAACAUCAAAGAACAGAAUUAAGACUUGGCAAGAAACCUGUCCACGACAAAAGGCAGACAAUGUAAGUCAAGCUCAGCUGAGAACAAAGGACUGGUGAUGCAGGUGAGGUUUGGCAUCUGUACUAAUUAGGAUGGGCUAAAUUACAGUAACAUUCACCAAAUCUCAGCAUCUUAUUGCAAUAAAGGUUUAUUUCUCACACAUGUUACAUGUUUGAUAUAAGUCAUCAGGGGACCCAUCGCAACUUGAGUUCACAGGAAAUAGACACUGAAACUCUGAAAUUUGUAUGCAGGAGGUUAUUACCUAAUGAUGGCAAGAGCAACCUCUGUGGGGAUUGAGGGAUGCAAGACUGGGCAGAGGGAGAAGUUGAAUUGCAACACAUUUGCAACUGAGGCAUCAAUCAAUCCUGCAGGAAUUCUGGAGCUGGGCUGGCCUUUCAGCAUUGUCCUAAUCUGUGUCUGCUAACACUUUAAGGUACACCUAAAAGACCCCCCAAACCCAGCAAGCUUUUCAUUCAAGAUUCCUUCAGUGGAGUACAUCUAGGGAAAAAGUCCCUCAAGUAUACUGAUAAUUUAGGCUCCUUGAAUGCUGCCUUGGAGUAGGAAAUCCAGCAUUAGACAGACUGCCUAGCCAAGUUGGGUAAAACCAGUAAAUUUUUUUUUUUUUUUAAAGACGGAGUUUCGCUCUUGUAGCCCAGGCUGGAGUGCAUUGGCACGAUCUUGGCUCACUGCAACCUCCGCCUCCCGCG